rnacentral:rRNA from 1 species
AUGGGAUACUGGUUCUUCGGCGGCCACGGCGGCUUCUACAUACCCUCCUAUGACGGGAGCCAGCCUCGACCCGCUGGCCCUCACCGGCCGCUGCUGUAUGGUACUGUGCCAUACGACGAGGAGAUCCGCCGGAUGGAAGAAGGCGUCCGCCUCCGUCAACGGCCACCGCCCAACCCCACAGUCUGGAAAUACUUCAAGAUCUUCACUAGGUGUUUCAUGGCCGCGAUGAGCAUCACGAUGAUGGCUUGGAUAUUUGUGGCACGAUAUUUCGGUUCGGAUCCUCAGGUGCAGGAUCCCUAUAUUAUGAUGGGACUUAUCGUCUUUGCUCUCAUACCAAUGGGAUUCGGCUUAAUGAUAACAGAAGGAGAUAUAGAGGCCCAGGACACACGUGCUCAAGGGGAGGCACUGUCAAGCCCGAGCCAUGGAUUUGAGGAUCUUCGUGCGGAUGUGGCUAGGAUUUGUGCAUUUCUCGAGAUACGCUAA